UACGGGGGGAGCAAGCGUUGUUCGGAUUUACUGGGCGUAAAGGGCGCGUAGGCGGCGCAACAAGUCACUUGUGAAAUCUCCGGGCUUAACCCGGAGCGGCCAAGUGAUACUGUCGUGCUAGAGUGCGGAAGGGGCUACUGGAAUUCUCGGUGUAGCGGUGAAAUGCGUAGAUAUCAAGUGGAACACCAAUGGCGAAGGCGAAUCCCUGGAAAAUACCUGACACUGAGGCACGAAAGCUAGGGGAGCAAACAGG
rnacentral:rRNA from 1 species